GGUGCACACGGCCGGUUCGGUGGGCGGCGCCACCGCGAACGUGGCGACCACCCUGGUCAAGGCCGGGGUGCACCGCC
rnacentral:tRNA from 1 species